UUAGACCUCAAAUCAGGCAGGAUUACCCGCUGAACUUAA
rnacentral:rRNA from 1 species